GACACAAGUAAUUAUAGUAAUUCUGUAAUUAUAAUUACAAACACAAUGUACUGUCAUUUAAAGACUUUAUAUGUGGUCCAUGUAUAUAUGUUAAUGUAAUAUAAUAUAAAAAAUAAUGUGUAUUGUUAAAAUAUGUGAUAUAUAAUACCAUAAACCUCUGACUAUAAACCCUGGGCUUAUAUUCUUUUGAAGCGAUUUUUCAUGGGCUUAGGGGGGGGGGGCUUAUAUGCAUGGGGGCCUUAUACAUGGACAAUCAAUUGUGUUAGUAAUAAACAAGUCAGUCACUCAUAAACAGGAAAAUAAACAUGUAUUAAUAACACACUUCCAUUAACAUAGUAAGCUAUAAAGACAAUGACAGUGUUUCAAAUAUCGUUCUCUGCUAUAUUUAAAGACAAUGUCAAUGUUAAAUAACAUAGUGGGAUACCGGGCUUAUAUUCAGGGGGCUAAUAUUCAGGGGACUUAUAUUCAGGGGGGCUUAUAUUUGGGGGGGGGGGCUUAUAUUUGGAAUGAGGUGAGCAUUAUAUUCAGAGGUUUACAGUAUACAGUUGAAAAAAGCUUGUAUUUUCUUGUCAUAGACACACAUUUCUGGUUGCAUAUAGAACAGCUUAAACGUCAGGUUCUCAUGUCGACCCAAUGGUAAUUUAAUAUCGCUGCCAUCACCAUAAUAUAGUGUAGCACAGAAUGGCCUUGUAUGUAUCAUACUUUGACAUACUAUCAUGCAUGCAGAAAUGCCUUGGUCAUUCAUGUGGAGAUAUUACUAUUACGAUAGAAUUAGUUACGCCAAGUAACAUGUCGUACACGUCAGGUAGCAGCUGAAAUAUUUUAAUAUUUGCCAUAAUAUGCCCAUAACCUGUUGGCAAAACAACCAAAACAUCUUCAUCCUUUUACAAAUGGCCAAGAUACAUUUGAAUGUCUCGUCUUUUAACGAAUAUUCAAGCCCUCUUUUCGCUGGAACAGCUUUCAUAGCUCUUUUAGUAUUUGCCAUUGAAUAUAAUUUAUUAGUAGUACGAUUUAAAGCACCUUUAAACGUAUAAAAAACCAUUUUGUACACUAUAUUCUG